GAUGAACGCUGGCGGCGUGCCUAAUACAUGCAAGUCGAGCGAACAGACGAGGAGCUUGCUCCUCUGACGUUAGCGGCGGACGGGUGAGUAACACGUGGAUAACCUACCUAUAAGACUGGGAUAACUUCGGGAAACCGGAGCUAAUACCGGAUAAUAUAUUGAACCGCAUGGUUCAAUAGUGAAAGACGGUUUUGCUGUCACUUAUAGAUGGAUCCGCGCCGCAUUAGCUAGUUGGUAAGGUAACGGCUUACCAAGGCAACGAUGCGUAGCCGACCUGAGAGGGUGAUCGGCCCCACUGGAACUGAGACACGGUCCAGACUCCUACGGGAGGCAGCAGUAGGGAAUCUUCCGCAAUGGGCGAAAGCCUGACGGAGCAACGCCGCGUGAGUGAUGAAGGUCUUCGGAUCGUAAAACUCUGUUAUUAGGGAAGACCAAAUGUGUAAGUAACUAUGCACGUCUUGACGGUACCUAAUCAGAAAGCCACGGCUAACUACGUG
rnacentral:rRNA from 1 species